rnacentral:rRNA from 1 species
GUACGGGGGGGUAAGCGUUGUUCGGAAUUACUGGGCGUAAAGGGCUCGUAGGCGGCCAACUAAGUCAUACGUGAAAUCCCUCAGCUUAACUGGGGAACUGCGUGUGAUACUGGAUGGCUUGGAUUUGGGAGAGGGAUGCGGAAUUCCAGGUGUAGCGGUGAAAUGCGUAGAUAUCUGGAGGAACACCGGUGGCGAAGGCGGCAUCCUGGACCAAUAUUGACGCUGAGGAGCGAAAGCCAGGGGAGCAAACGGG